GUCUUUAUCUUAGUAAACAGUCUUCACACGUUUGCAGCCUUCUUCUUUUCAGGGUGUCAAACACUAUCAUUUAUAUUUUACCGUUUAGAUUCUUUAAAUGACUUCAGAGACAUGGAAACAAAUGUACUUCAUUAAGUAAUUAGAAUGAGGAAGUGACAUCACUCUGACAGGAAGUUCAGUGAGUCUUUAAGCAGCAGCAGCUCAGAGACUCUGACAGUCCACAGAGAGACGGAGAAGCAGAAUGUUGGACUUCAGGUGGAUUCAGAUGUCUUCAUGUCUCCUCCUGGUGCUUCACUUUACAGUAACUGCAGGUCAAAUGUCUGUUUUAAAGAGGGGUGGAGAGGACGUCACUCUGAGCUGUGAGAAAGUCAUCGAUGACCAGAAUAACUGUGAUGGUACUACCUGGGUCCACAGUCGUCCAAGAAUCAAUGAUUCAGCCACAGAACUGAUCAGACUGGGACAGAUCAAUGAAAACAUCCCAAACAAAGACAGACUGAGUGUUACAGAGAACUGUUCUCUGAUCAUAAAGGAGGUCAGAGAGGAGGAUGUUGGUCGUUAUGUCUGUCAACAGUACAAGAAAGAAGAACAACCACACACUCAGGUUCAUGUGUCUCGUGUUGAUCUGUCUGUUGUUUUCAUGACUGAAAGUAACAACACUGAUCAGGUGGAUUUAAUCUGCUCUGUGGUUCCAUAUGAUCGCUGCAGACACACAGUGAGGUGGCUGUUUAAUGGUGAAGACCUGGAUGGGCUUCAAUCAGGCAUAUUCACAUCAAAGUCUGAGUGUUCCAGCACUGUGAAGGUUCUGGAUCAGAUUAACUUUGUUUACGAUUCACAAAACCUUUUGAAGUGUGAAGUUACUGAUGAAACUGGAAAAGUGCAGCAGUUUGACUUCAACCAUCAAACCUCAGGUGGGAAAAAACCAACUGAACAUCCACCGACCACUGAAAACAAAGGAUCAGUCACGUUGUGGCCGAUCAUAGUUGCAGUUGUGGGUUUAGUAACGGUCCUGAUAAUUGUUGUGGUGGUGUUCAGAUGGAAGAAAGCAAACAAACGACAGACGGACGAAACCCCAGGACUGAGCUUAAACACCACGAUGACUCCGUCUGCUCCAGAAAGCAGUCCCAUGUCGGCGGAUCCUGAAGAGGGUGUGUCCUACGCCUCCAUCAGCCACACCAGGAAGACCAACCAAAAAGCCCGGGUCCCGGUUGAUGUUGAGGAAGUGACGUACAGCACAGUGAACGCUUCCUCCUCUUCCUCAGCUGGAGCCGCUGCUGAUCCCAACAACCUGUACUCCACUAUCACACAGUAGAGUACCUGAAGAAUCAGCCUCUGAUAUUCUGGAAUAUUUUCAGACUUACAAAGACCGGGCUCCAGCUGCCUGCUGCCUGCUAAAUGUUGUUAGCUAGUUUCCUUCAUAUAGGCCUUUAGGCGUCAUUAGCUGGAUUAGACUUGAACAUUGGAGCUGGCUGGGAUGGACCUCAGGUGUUCAGUGAAUAGAGGUUAAAGUUCGUAUUAUAUUGACACCUUCUAAAAACAUCUCAUCUUGUAUGUGUUCAGUUUCCUCAUUCGUUGCCUGGACAGCAGCGGCUGCUCUGUGGCGUGAAGGCCCCGCCACCGCAGCCUGUCUGACGUUUGACGCCUCCCCACGGGUCUGAAUGUGAGACACAAAAAAAUUAUUUAUUAUCUGUAGCUUAAUGUUUGUUCUGUGUAGGCCCUCAUUCAAACUGUAUUUGUAUUAAUGUAAUGAUUAUUAGCUGGGUUAGUAUUAGUUCUGUGUUAUUUUAAUGCACUGUUAGGUUUUAUUUUGAAUGAACUAAUAAUAUCUUGCUGUUUAUAGUUAAAAUAAAACUUGCAUUUUCUUCA
ensembl:lncRNA uncharacterized LOC114428585